CUCUGAUUCCUCCAGCGUCGCUGUGUGACGCUCCGCUGUAGACCUUGGGUGUUUCUUCGGUGGAAGGAAUUGGUGAGAUGCUAGGUUGUUCCUCCACAGUGGUCUUCCCAUGGUGGGUUGUAGUUUGAUUUUUGGACAAGGCACCCAAGAUUUCCUCUAUCUUUUGGUCCAUCUUCAACUGGAUUGAAGCUAUGGAAUCAACUUGGUGUUGAAUCUGAUUCCCUUGGUUCUCCAGUCGAUCAUACAAGGUUCCUAGCUCCAAUUUCAACGAUUCCACCCUUUUGAGAUGGGCUCCUCCAGUCUCUUUACCUCCUCCUUUUUCUCCAGCCAUAGUCCCAGGAACUGCUCUGAUACCAAUUUGUUGUAGAACAAAUAUAGUAGAACAAUAUUAACAGGGAAGGAUCCAAAAUUAACAACUAAUUGUAUUAAUCUUGGAAAUUGGCAAUAAGAACAAUGAUAAAAGCAAAUGAUAAGGGUAGUAGCUGUUCGAGAUGCUACAAAUCUCCCAGGAAUAGAAACUUCUAUGAGAAUAAUCUGGUGCCUUCCUCCCAGGUGUCCCUUCCAUCAAAUAGACUAAUUGACAGCUGGCCUUGAAUUUCCCAAAUUACCCCUAUCGUCCCACUACCUCUGCAGUCCUGAUGUCAGGUUAGUGGUCCCUCCUGCGUGUGUCAUUUUUUUAUUCUUCAUUCUCUUGUACGUGAACUUGAGUGGAGGUUUUACAACAAUAUAUUACAGCUCGAAUGAAUGUGUAUAUUUACAAGGAUUUUUCCAACAACAAACUAUUCCAAAAAUCUAGGAAUAAAUAGACACUCCUUGGAUGAUGCCAACUUAUGUAAAGAGCUAUUCUAUACAUUUUCAUCUGAGUUUUCAUCGAGCCUAAAAGCAAAUACUAAGAACAAAAUCUUUGGUAGUCUUGUUUAUUGUCUACCAUCAGAAAAAUAGACAAUUUAGCCGGUUGUUUCUUUGCCUUUAUGCCAAAUCCCAAGUGUUAGCUAAGUUGUAGGUGAGAAUCGGCCUGAAAUUAUAUGUUUCGCAUAACUCUUUCGUCAAGACUAAAUUUUUGUAGUUCAUGAUUUUGGCUAAGACUAGACUAUUUAACUACUUGUAUCUUUUUUUUGUUAUGUCAUCUUUUAAUUGUUGGCCAAAUCAUAGGUAAGAACCACAUCGUUUUGCUAGACUCUUGGCAACUCUGUCAUUAAGACCGAAUGUCUGCAAAUGGUGAUUCCGACAUUGCAAUCUGCAGACCACAUGUUGAGUGCAAUGCUUGAUGUCGGAACAUACUCAUGGGGCAACUGUUCAAAGUCACAUAUAGUGUGUCACUGUCAUGUAACUAUGCUUUACAAGAUGACUUCUCUUAUUUUGAUAAUUUUUC
rnacentral:lncRNA from 1 species